rnacentral:rRNA from 1 species
CAGUCGCCGCGGUAAUACGUAGGGGGCAAGCGUUAUCCGGAAUAACUGGGCGUAAAGGGUGCGCAGGUGGUUUAACAAGUUAGUAGUGAAAGGCAUAGGUUCAACCAAUGUAAGCCAUUAAAACUGUUUAACUUGAGUGCAGGAGAGGAAAGUGGAAUUCCUAGUGUAGCGGUGAAAUGCGUAGAUAUUAGGAGGAAUACCAGUGGCGAAAGCACUCUGCUGGGCCGACACUGACACUGAGAGACGAAAGCUAGGGGAGCAAAUGGGAUUAGAUACCCGUGUAGUCCCUGUCUCUUAUCAA